rfam:Oryza meridionalis cultivar OR44 (W2112) chromosome 1, whole genome shotgun sequence.
AAAAAGUGCAGUUUUGCACUUUUUAUAUCUAAUGUUUGACCGUUCGUCUCGUUCGAAAGAAAAAUAUGAUUAGUAGUUUUGUUGUUAUUAGAUGAUAAAACAUGAAUACUAAUUUUUGUGUGACUAAUUUUUUUAAAAAAAUUCAUAAAGUUUUUAAAUAAAACGGACAGUCAAACGUUGGACACGAAAAUCCAUAACUACACUUAAA